UAAUUGAAGAGUUUGAUCAUGGCUCAGAUUGAACGCUGGCGGCAGGCCUAACACAUGCAAGUCGAGCGGCAGCGACAUCAACAAUCCUUCGGGUGCGUUGAUGGGCGGCGAGCGGCGGACGGGUGAGUAAUGCCUGGGAAUAUGCCCUGAUGUGGGGGAUAACCAUUGGAAACGAUGGCUA
rnacentral:ncRNA from 1 species